UAUUACAUAUGAUAUGAUAUUAAAACUAUAGAUUAUAAAUAUAAUAUGAUAAAUUAGUUAUUAUAUUUAUUUAUAAUUAAAUCAAUUAUAAGAUAAAUGAUUUUCGAUUUUUUCUCCUAAUAACCGAAUUAGUGGGAAGUUAUAAUCAGUUUUUGAUAACUGAUGGAUAAAAUGAAAAUCGUUUUCAUUGUUUCAUAAUUGAAUGCACAGCAAGAAAAAGCUACAUGAUAGCGUUGAGAGAGUAAACGAUCAAGCAUCGAGUUUUUUUAAACGAUAUCUACCCGCUACUAAACAAUCGAGUACCCAAGUUUAAACGAUAGACUUCUACCUUCUCCCACUUACUCGAUUGUCUACACGAUUGUUCAGUUCCUUCUUCCCUCUAUCAAAUCCAAACAAAGUCCACACCUCAUGGAUUCUCACACCGAGAAUAUCAAGUUAGUCUCGUGGUAGUGUCAAGUUUGCAUUCAAGGGUCGAGUAUCGAGUUUAACUCGAUUGUGUUUGAGGAUUCUACAGUUCUUGUUGUUCACUGGUUUGCUCAUGCUGCGUUCGUGCUGUUGGACUCUUGGCUGUUUGAUCGAGGAAGUACUAGAAGAAAAGAUUCUUUAAGGCUUCAAAGUAUGGAGAUGUUGUUCACAUCAAGGAAGGAAACCAAGGGUUGGUCGCAUCGUGUAGUCCAGGCUAAACGAUCGUUUAGAUUUAUUGACAAUCCUCACUUAUCUAUUAAAAAAAUAUAGUGUUAUAUAUACUAACAAAUAUAUAUAUAUAUUAUAUAUAUAAUAUAUAUAUAUAUAUAUAUAUAUAAUUGAGCAAUGGGAGAGCUUGAAGAAAUCAAGGGAGAAUUUAUUUAUGUUUGAAUACUCACUUAUCUCAGGUUUAGCCUAGCAAAUAUUUCAAGGAGUAGUAAAGUUUCCUCCAACAGUUUUUCAAUUCCUACUUUCCUCUUUAAUAAUUUAUUCUCUAUUAUUCAUUUAUAGAGGUGAAGAAAAAUAUUGGUAAUAAGUAUCAGUAGAUGAACUGACUACCUGGUUUGAAUGAAGAUCCAAGGGUUCUCAAA